UACGUAGGUGGCAAGCGUUGUCCGGAAUUAUUGGGCGUAAAGAGCGUGUAGGCGGUUCAGUAAGUCUGCUGUGAAAGUCCAGGGCUCAACCCUGGGAUGCCGGUGGAUACUGCUGGGCUAGAGUACGGAAGAGGCGAGUGGAAUUCCCGGUGUAGCGGUGAAAUGCGCAGAUAUCGGGAGGAACACCUAUUGCGAAGGCAGCUCGCUGGGACGUUACUGACGCUGAGACGCGAAAGCGUGGGGAGCAAACAGG
rnacentral:rRNA from 1 species